rnacentral:rRNA from 1 species
AGAUUGAACGCUGGCGGCAGGCCUAACACAUGCAAGUCGAGCGGUAGAGAGGUGCUUGCAUCUCUUGAGAGCGGCGGACGGGUGAGUAAUGCCUAGGAAUCUGCCUAGUGGUGGGGGAUAACGUUCGGAAACGGACGCUAAUACCGCAUACGUCCUACGGGAGAAAGCGGGGGACCUUCGGGCCUCGCGCCAUUAGAUGAGCCUAGGUCGGAUUAGCUAGUUGGUGAGGUAAUGGCUCACCAAGGCGACGAUCCGUAACUGGUCUGAGAGGAUGAUCAGUCACACUGGAACUGAGACCACGGUCCAGACCUCCGUACGGGAGCAGCAAGUGGGGAAUAGUUGGACAAGUGGGACGAAAGCCUAGACUCCAGCCAUCGACCCGCGUGUGUAGAACGGAGGUUCGUUACGGAUUAGUAAA